rnacentral:rRNA from 1 species
GACGAACGCUGGCGGCGUGCUUAACACAUGCAAGUCGAACGGAAAGGCCCUGCGUUUGUGGGGUGCUCGAUUGGCGAACGGGUGAGUAACACGUGAGUAACCUGCCCUUGUCUUUGGGAUAACUUCAGGAAACUGGGGCUAAUACCGGAUAGGAUCUCCUGCUGCAUGGUGGGGGUUGGAAAGUUUCGGCGGUUGGGGAUGGACUCGCGGCUUAUCAGCUUGUUGGUGGGGUAGUGGCUUACCAAGGCUUUGAAGGGUAGGCGGCCUGAGAGGGUGGCCAGCGACAUGACGACUGAGAUACGGCGCAGACGGCUACGGGAGGCAGCAGGGGGGAAUCUUGCACAGUGGGCGGGAGCCAGAGACAACAACGCCGCGUGCGGGAUGACGGGCUACGGGUUGUGAACCGCUUUCGCCUGUGACGAAGCGGGAGUGACGGUAAUGGGUAAAGAAGCACCGGCUAACUACGUG